AGUUAGAUGUUUCUGGCUCUAGAGCUGGGAGGGUUAGUAGUUAGACGUGUUCUGGCUCUAGAGCUGGGAGGGUUAGUAGUUAGAUGUGUUCUGGCUCUAGGGCUGGGAGGGUUAGUAGUUAGAUGUGUUCUGGCUCUAGAGCUGGGAGGGUUAGUAGUUAGAUGUGUUCUGGCUUUAGAGCUGGGAGGGUUAGUAGUUAGAUGUGUUCUGGCUCUUGGGCUGGGAGGGUUAGUAGUUAGAUGUGUUCUGGCUCUAGGGCUGGGAGGGUUAGUAGUUAGAUGUGUUCUGGCUCUAGAGCUGGGAGGGUUAGUAGUUAGAUGUGUUCUGGAUCUAGAGCUGGGAGGGUUAGUAGUUAGAUGUGUUCCAGAGCUGGGAGGGUUAGUAGUUAGAUGUGUUCUGGCUUUAGAGCUGGGAGGGUUAGUAGUUAGAUGUGUUCUGGCUCUAGGGCUGGGAGGGUUAGUAGUUAGAUGUGUUCUGGCUCUAGGGCUGGGAGGGUUAGUAGUUAGAUGUGUUCUGGCUCUAGAGCUGGGAGGGUUAGUAGU